rnacentral:rRNA from 1 species
UGUUCAGGGGUAAACCUGUGGUUCCCGAAAGUUCGAACGAGGAGAUUCAAUUGCCUUACCGGUUAUGACCAUUUAAUAGUGAUAUAUUUAUUUAUAUAUUGAGACAUUAUAUGCUGUGCAAUUUUUUUAUAGAUUGUAUCAUGUUAUAUGGUGCUCCACUAUUUUAUGUAUUUAUAUAGUUUAUAGCCGGAGGUGUGCACUUCUCCUCUUGUAGAACGUCGUGACCUAUUGGGUAUAAAUUAUAAAUAGUUGUCUAAGGCCCAUAAUGGAGAUUGUAGCAUCAAGUUUUUAUCGACUUGUUUCAUGCAACAAACGUAUGGUGUCCCGACAUCUACCCAAUAGUAUAUAAUAAAUUGAUGAUGAAACGCUUAACAUAAUUGUUUAGCGUGUACGUUUUAACCUAUAACAAAUGUUUAUAUAUAAACACAAGUUGUGGAAAUUCGGAAGUACUAUGCCGAUUCUACAAAUAUAACAUUGUUAGUUAUAGUGUUCUUAAACCGUUUCUUAUCAUCAGUCAACGGCGUUUAUGUUUUGGGUAAUUACAGGACCCGUCUUGAAACACGGACCAAGGAGUCUAGCAUGUACGCAAGUCAUUGGGACUAUAAACAAAACCUAAAGGCGUAAUGAAAGUAAAUAUUUUUUUUAUGUUUUAUUACAUAAAAUAAAAUAAAGGGAAGAUGGGUGAUGAUGAUAUAUAUUGCCUCGCAUUCCCGGGGCGUCGCGUACUCAUUGUGAGUUGCGGCGCACCAAGAGCGUACACGCUGGGACCCGAAAGAUGGUGAACUAUGCCUGGUCAGGAUGAAGUCAGGGGAAACCCUGAUGGAGGUCCGUAGCGAUUCUGACGUGCAAAUCGAUCGUAUGAACUGGGUAUAGGGGCGAAAGACUAAUCGAACCAUC